AGUCGUUAUAAAAAGGAUUGAAGAUUUAUCUGAUUGAGAUUUUAUAACAAUGGCUUUAGUGGCGGACUGGUGAGUAACGCGUGAGCAACCUGCCUACUAGAGGGGAAUAACAGUGAGAAAUCAUUGCUAAUACCGCAUAUGCCAUGAACAUCACAUGAUGAAAAUGGGAAAAGAGUAAUCUGCUAGUAGAUGGGCUCGCGUCUGAUUAGAUAGUUGGUGGGGUAACGGCCUACCAAGUCAACGAUCAGUAGCCGGACUGAGAGGUUGAACGGCCACAUUGGGACUGAGAUACGGCCCAGACUCCUACGGGAGGCAGCAGUCGGGAAUAUUGCGCAAUGGAGGAAACUCUGACGCAGUGACGCCGCGUAUAGGAAGAAGGUUUUCGGAUUGUAAACUAUUGUCGUUAGGGAAGAUACAAGACAGUACCUAAGGAGGAAGCUCCGGCUAACUACGUGCCAGCAGCCGCGGUAAUACGUAGGGAGCAAGCGUUAUCCGGAUUUAUUGGGUGUAAAGGGUGCGUAGACGGGACAACAAGUUAGUUGUGAAAUCCCUCGGCUUAACUGAGGAACUGCAACUAAAACUAUUGUUCUUGAGUGUUGGAGAGGAAAGUGGAAUUCCUAGUGUAGCGGUGAAAUGCGUAGAUAUUAGGAGGAACACCGGUGG
rnacentral:rRNA from 1 species